rnacentral:rRNA from 1 species
AACGAACGCUGGCGGCAUGCCUAACACAUGCAAGUCGAACGAGACCUUCGGGUCUAGUGGCGCACGGGUGCGUAACGCGUGGGAACCUGCCCUUAGGUUCGGAAUAACUCCCCGAAAGGGGUGCUAAUACCGGAUAAUGUCUUCGGACCAAAGAUUUAUCGCCUUUGGAUGGGCCCGCGUUGGAUUAGCUAGUUGGUAGGGUAAAAGCCUACCAAGGCGACGAUCCAUAGCUGGUCUGAGAGGAUGAUCAGCCACACUGGGACUGAGACACGGCCCAGACUCCUACGGGAGGCAGCAGUGGGGUAUAUUGGACAAUGGGCGAAAGCCUGAGCCAGCAAUGCCGCGGGAGUGAUGAAGGCCUUAGGGUUGUAAAGCUCUUUUACCCGGGAUGAUAAUGACAGUACCGGGAGAAUAAGCUCCGGCUAACUCCGU